rnacentral:tRNA from 1 species
GGGCGUAGCUCAGGGGCUAGAGCGUCUGCUUGCCAUGCAGAAGGUCGUGGGUUCGAAUCCCAUCGCCC